UGUGCCUUAAGUGACCAUGCAAACAUGAUGAACCAGAUUUGCCCAGGGGGUAACUUCAGUGGCAUUAAGAGUAAAACCAGUGAGGAGUAUGGAAGGAUGUGUAGUGAGAGCAAGUGAUUCAGAGAUGGAGGUGGAUGGAGAGAGGUAGAUUCUAAAUGUUACCAACAUUUAGAUACAUUAGUAGUUCUUGUAGAAGUGUGUGUGAUUGUCCCAACACUGGCAGGGUUGUGUGACAGUAGGCACAAAUGAGCAGUAUCCUGGGAUGGCGUGUUUAUGUGUGUGUAUGAGGAGCAGGAAGAGAAGAAAGGUCUUAUUGUGAGUUAAUCUCAUAGAUUUUUCUCUCCCUUGUCCAUAGGGUUUACCUGGAAAUCCCGGGGACACAGGACCUCCUGGAAAGCCAGUAUGUCAUUUCACUUUUAGAUUAAAUCCCAAACAAUUCUGCUCUUCUCCCUUUUAUAUCAGUACCUCCAUAUACCCCAUCCUUCACAGUGACAGUUAAAUGUCACUCGCUUGCUGUUCUAACCGGAAGAACAGCUACAAGAACUAAGAGCGAAGAGUGAUUACGGUAGAUGCGCCUGUGGUAAGUUUGGCUCAAUAUAAAAAUAAUUGAAUAUGCUGUAUGUAAAUGAAAGCAAAAGCUCGUAACAACAUUCUCUUAGUAUUUGCAUAUAAAACCCAAGGCCAGAAUCUGUAUUUUCUACACAUGCCCUGCCCAAUCUAUCCCUGUAUUCUGGAAUAAAUUUAUAAUGCCAUUGACGAAGGACAUAUAGGGCCCAAUGAGCACCAGACAGUGCAAGGAAAAUCAGUACCAUACCACAGGGAAUUUUCAUGCAAAUUUACCUCCAGUGUCUCAUUUUAUAAAACUACUUUUUAAGUUUGUAUUAAACAACGAAUUUCUCUUUCCACAGGGUGCCUCCUCCCUGCUUUCUCCUGAGGACAUAAAUCUUUUAGUCAAGGAUGUGUGUAAUGACUGCCCACCUGGCCCCCCGGGGCUCCCUGGAGUGCCAGGCUUCAAGGGCGAUAGAGGUGCCCAAGGACCUCCGGGUAGAGAUGGCCUGAAUGGGAAAAUGGGCGAUCCUGGACCCCGGGGUCUCCCAGGCCCUCCAGGGGUGGAUGGUCCAAAGGUCAGUAAUUCUCCUCAAUUAACAUCACCUGGAUUGACUCCAUUCUUAUGUAGAGCAAAGGCUGAAGCGGAA
rnacentral:lncRNA from 1 species